CUAAUUAUCUAGCAGGGGGAGAGACCGUGAUUAUGAAGGUGGUGGUCCCAGGACGAGUCUAUCUCAUUACACUUUGGGUGUGCUAGACACCUACGAUAUCCCCAAAUGCGGGAUACUCCACUGCACAAUUGGCAGUGGAAGACUAUGUUCGCGUUCUGCCCUG